GCCUAGGUGGCUCAGUUGGUUAGGUGUCUGACUUUUGGUUUUGGCUCAGGUCAUGAUCUCAUGCGUUUGUGGGUUUGAGCCCCACUCUGGGCU
rnacentral:tRNA from 1 species